GGGGGCCCGAAAAUGUUUUGACUAAUCGUGGAGGCCUGAUUGCACAAUUGGAAUAGAAACGUUUGGAAUAACUUUUCGUUAUAGCGGCCACCAUAUGCUGAUAUU
rnacentral:lncRNA from 1 species